UACGUAGGGUGCAAGCGUUGUCCGGAUUUAUUGGGCGUAAAGAGCGUGUAGGCGGUCUGGUAGGUCCGUUGUGAAAACUCGAGGCUCAACCUCGAGACGCCGAUGGAAACCAUCAGACUAGAGUCCGGAAGAGGAGAGUGGAAUUCCUGGUGUAGCGGUGAAAUGCGCAGAUAUCAGGAAGAACACCCGCGGCUAAGGCGGCUCUCUAGUACGGUACUGACGCUGAGACGCGAAAGCGUGGGGAGCGAACAGG
rnacentral:rRNA from 1 species